UCUCUCCUUAGAUAUGGGAUUUGGCAGACCCGGAGGGGAAAGGCUUUCUGGACAAGCAGGGCUUCUUCCUUGCGCUGCGGCUUGUGGCUUCUGUCCAAAGUGGCCACGACGUGGGACUCAGCAGCCUUGGCCUCAACUUGCCAGCUCCGAAAUUUCAUGACAGCACGAGUCCCCUGCUGAUCUCCUCCUCGGACGCUCACUGGGCCGUCAGGGUGA